rnacentral:lncRNA from 1 species
AUGGUCUAACUGGUUCUAUACAGGUGAGUGUUCACCUGGUCUAGUGGUCUAAUGUUCUAUCAGGUGAGUGUUCACCUGGUCUAGUGGUAUAACUGGUUCUAUACAGGUGUGUUCACCUGGUCUAGUGGUAUAACUGGUUCUCUACGGUGGUGUUCACCUGGUCUCCUGGUAUAACUGGUUCUCUACAGGUUUUGUUCACCUGGUCUAGU